GGCCUAUGGCACUGGCCUUACUUGUGAUUAGGUAAGAGCCGACCCAGAACAACAAAAAUUAUGUAACAUGUUUAAGAUCACAGAUUUUAACGAUUUUAUAGCCAUUGUGCUCAGUCACCACGUUCACAUAAAUUGAAAGAGAUAGAGUAUAAGUUGGAUAAAUUUAAUUGUUAAAAUCUGAUAUGAAAAGGAGGCCUAAAAUUAAUCAUCUAUGAAAAC
rnacentral:lncRNA from 1 species